rnacentral:misc_RNA from 1 species
AAACAAUCCGACUCGUAAGACAAUCAGUCACAACCCUAAUACAAACCCCGCAGUUCUACAACAGAAGAUGCAGUUAGUCAUUGUAUUUUUCGCAUUUCUACAAAUUACAAGCGCUUUGGUGAUCAAGGUCCGACCCGCUCGGGUCAGAGGUCAAGUCAGGAUGCGAAGGCCGCCACUUGGUCCAUUUCCCAUGAGGUUCGUUCCGUUAGCCGGCGCGGGUUUCAGAAGACUGCGUCCCACGAUCAGACCGAGGACCCACAUCCAUGUCCCCUUCAAUGGCCGACAGUUCGAACACACCCAUGCCAAUGGUGACGUCGCUCACGGACACAACUUUGGGUUUCCCGCAGGAAUCUACCCGGAACACGGAGUUGGGUGGGAUAUUCCCGAAUUUUUCAGGGAUUCAAACACGUGGGCCAUAUUCGACAAGGUCAAUCCGGACUCUGUUUUUGUCCAAGAUGACGAAGUUCCUGUCUACCAACCCGACAACAUCCCCUACAACAUCCCUGACGUCAUGACGUCAAACGACGGUGCCAUGUUUCCGGAUAGCAUCGUUCCGUCAGAUGUCGUGGUCCCAAUGAUAACAUCGGAGUUUCUCCCUACGUCAAACAAACGUGGGGAACCCGCCAUUACAAGACCUCUUACACCAAUUGUAAAAGGAAACACUAAUGACUCGAUAGUACCCAAAACAAACGGGACAGACAACUCGACGAACGUGAAUAAGGGCUGGAAUAACCCAGGAUCUCCCCCCUCCACAGACAAAACAGUAAUUAUUGUAGAGAAAACGACACGAGAGCCAUCAUGUCAUAAAACGUGAGUACAAUAUACAUGGCAUUUUUUAUUCGUUAAUAAUUGAAAAAUUUGAAUUAGUGAAAGAAAAUAUACAUAUUAAUUUAUAUAGACGGAGGUACUAGUACUCGAAAUAUUGCAGAAAUGGUAACAAUUGCAUUACUUUUUUCCCCAGAGGAUGUCUCACUGGCCACGAAUGUGUCUUUUCAAACUCUUACAUCUGUCCCAUUUAUAUACCGGAAGUGGACUGUAAAUGCAGAGCAGGUUGUAGAGUGGAUUACACCUUUAUACCAUACGGAACAACAGUUACCAUGGAUACCUGUGGAAACACCUGUUCUUGUUUCAACAUGUAUGGAGCUGCGUCUUGUUCUAAGAAAUCUUGCACCGAAAACAUCCAGAAGCUACCAUCUACAAGUCAAACACCGGAAGGAGUUACCAUGCCUACCAAACAAACGCCAUUACCGACCCAGAUGUCAUUGGACAUUACAACAACAGGCCAUCUCGAGAUUAACCAACCCAAAAACAGCAUUCAAAUGAACUUUCCCGUCAUCCCUAUAUCCUCAACAGCUCCAGCGGCAGCCAAUUAGAUGCUCAACUUAUCUUGAAUAUUUAUUUAUCUUUAUCAAGAGAAAUCCGUUUUAAUCGAAUGUUUUUGUGCUUUAAUAUGAAAUCCAUUGAAAUAAAUUUAAUCCUUAAAAUUAUUCACAUGC